rnacentral:tRNA from 1 species
GCCGGAAUAGCUCAGUUGGGAGAGCUUUAGACUGAAGUUGUUUACACAACAGUCAUCUAAAGGCCCCCGGUUCAAUCAAACGGAACAGUUCGGCG